CGGGGGGGGGGGGGCCUAUUCCUCCUAGGGCAGAGGCACAAGUAUCUUCGAGGUCUUACCCUUCCUGCCAGCCAAAGAGGUUCAUCCAGGCCUUACCCGAGAGAGAGACUGCGCUGACCGGUCAAGAGAAAAUCUACAAGAGACCUGAAUCAGCAGUGUUAUAAAGCACAUAGCCAACGCUAAUUAAUAAAGAAUUUAAGCAUAAUAGCCCAGACGUACCAUGGCCUAUAGCUGGUAGAAACGGAGCUAUCCUACGGCCUACAAGAUAAAAGCAUAUGGCACCAAAUUGGAAUCAGUAGUCUUUAAAAGAAUAAAUGGACUAGCAACUGUCUCUGGGGGAGCAGCCCCGGUUAGGUACUAUUAAGCAGCAUUUAGUGACAUGCAUCAAAACACAUUUUUUAAAACUUUGACAGAAUAAAGUCUUAGUUAUUUUAAUAAA